rnacentral:lncRNA from 1 species
CCACCAUGGAGAAUGUUACGUAACAGAAAAAAGUCCAAUAACUACAUUUCCCACCUCAUCAGCCAGUCCCACUGGGGAGAACCCAGAGGAGUAUCAGCAAAGGAUCAUGGGAGAUAGAGUCCAGAGACAACUACUGACUUCCUACAAAGAGGAGCUGGUCAGAGCUGCACAGAGUACUCCUGUGUUUCAGAGACCUACAGUGGGGUGGAGUGAUAACAUUACUAGUUGUGAGAGUCUCCUUUUCCCCGGCUGAGCUGAGAUGGACGUGUGUCUGACCAGUCCCACUGGGGGAGAACCCAGAGGAGUAUCAGCAAAGGAUCAUGGGAGCUAGAGUCCAGAGACAAGUGCUGACUUCCUACAAAGAGGAGCUGGUCAGAGCUGGACAGAGUACUCCUGUGUUUCAGAGACCUACAGUGGGUGAGUGACUCAUCAUAAAGCCACAUACUACAUUCCAUAUUGGCCCCUAUAUAUCUGAAAGUAGCCUAGUGGUUAGAGCGUUGGACUAGUAACUCUAUAUAUCUGAAGGUAGCCUAGUGGUUAGAGCGUUGGACUAGUAACUGGAAGGUUGCAAGUUCAAACCCCUGAGCUGACAAGGUACAAAUAUAUAUAUAUCUGAUGUGAUUUAGUUCUGUAAUGGUUUGGUUAGUAUUUAGUCAGGAUAAUCUGAUCCUAGCACAGCCAUUAGGACCUGUAUUAAAGCUACACUGUAGUUCCACCUUACUCUUUAAUGGUUUGGUUAGUAUUUAGUCACGUAAUCUGAUCCUAGGACAGCCAUUAGGACCUGUAUUACAGUUGUACUGUAGUUCCACCUUACUCUUUGAAAACAUACAGUAUGUGAACAUUUCCACACCUUGAUUGCCUCUAUCCAUUUCUGCCAGGCCCCUUCAUAGGUCAAAAACACUCAACUGAACUAUUCUGAUGCAUGUAGAUGGAAGGACUUUGGUGAUGGAUCAUGUAUCUUGAUGCAAUUAUCAAACUUUAAUUAUGAAUCAUUUGGAAGUGAAUAAAAGCCCAAUAAAGAGAUAAGAAACAGAGAACAUAUUGAUUAUUUUCAUAUUCAUCACCAGUGUUAACCUACGGUACUUCUGUGAAGUCAGUCCUGAUAUGGGUCUGAACCUGUUACUCAUAAAGGGAUUAAAAUAGAGAUUCAUCCAGAAAUCUCUUUCCCUGAUUUCAUCUGACCAAGUAUUCAGAUAUUGUGUGACAGUAGUUAUGUCCAGGCCAAUGAAAGACCUUCAUCCUACCCUGUAAAAUCCUUACAAAUAACAGCAACAUGACCAGUGUUUAAGUUGUAAAUGGGGAGGUGCCAGAACAAACAAAUGACCUGAGAGGCUCUGAGGUACCGGAACAGAUUCAUAUAUUUCUUUCUUUAUAAUACAGUUUUUC